GACGAACGCUGGCGGCGUGCUUAACACAUGCAAGUCGAGCGAUAACCAUGGCUUCGGCCAUGGGGAGAGCGGCGAACGGGUGAGUAACACGUGAGUAAUCUGCCCUCGACACUGGGAUAGCCCGGGGAAACCCGGAUUAAUACCGGAUAGCCUCUCGAGCUUUCGGGCUCGUGAGAAAAGAUGGCUUCGGCUUUUCGGUUGAGGAGGAGCUUGCGGCGGAUUAGCUUGUUGGUGAGGAACGGCCCACCAAGGCGACGAUCCGUAGCUGGUCUGAGAGGACGAUCAGCCACACUGGGACUGAGACACGGCCCAGACUCCUACGGGAGGCAGCAGUGGGGAAUCUUGCGCAAUGGGCGAAAGCCUGACGCAGCGACGCCGCGUGAGGGAAGAAGGCCUCGGUUGUAA
rnacentral:rRNA from 1 species